CCUGGUGGCUCAGUCGGUAAAGAAUCUGCCUCCAAUGCAGGAGACCUGGGUUCAAUCCCCAGGUCAGGA
rnacentral:tRNA from 1 species